rnacentral:lncRNA from 1 species
CGAGCUUCCAAAGAAGGCAUUGAAGGACAGUCCUCACUGGCAGAGGAGGCAUGGCAGCAGGCGGCUGGAGCUGUUGGGAACAAGCAAAAGAAACGUAUUCUAAGUACUACAAUUUUGUUUUCAGACUCCAUUUAAUCGUAGGGAGAAACUAAAUCCAAGCUCUCAGCCCCUAGGGGAGCUGGGGACUUCCCUAUAGCUGAACAUCUGACUCCAGCCAUCUCAAGGACAACUUCUCCAUCUUGCUGACAGGGUCAAACAAGGUCAUGUUCCCAG